AGUUAAUGAGCUUGAAUAUAAGUGUAUGUUUUGAAAACAUAAGAUAGAGAUUAAAUUUUCUAUUAACUU
rnacentral:tRNA from 1 species